CUCCGACUUCUUUCCUUUCUCAGUUUUCCCGCAGCAAAUUUCUUCUAUCGUUCCACUGAAACCACUCUUCGAUUGACAAUAAUGUGAAAUUAACCUUCGCCUCAAGUUUCUUCUCGAUUUUCAUGCAAUUACUUCGAUAGUUGGUUUCGGGGAGAGAGUCUUGGCAAAUGCGAAUUUCACUACUAAUCAACUAUCCAGUCAUCAGAGAAGACAUGUGUUCAGUUUCCGUAUUACAGAUCAAAAGGGGAUUGGAUCUUGGAUGAGCAAUGACCCGGAAAGGUGUAAUACUUCUAUCUAUCUCUGGAUUUGGUCUAGAGAAAAAAUCUCGCAUAGAGAUACUAUAUAAAGGUGUGCAGAUUAGAUCAUAUUAUGAACAGCUUAAAUUCAUUUGCUUAUAGCUGGGCCUGUUAAAUAAUUCCGCUUAUUGUUGCUUGCAAUAUGUUAAAUGUUGUGAAAAAAAUGUGUUUGGUUUAUUGUUGUUUGUGAUAUGUAAUAAUGAUUUUUCUUGGGAAAAAAAUAAUAGUAUGAAAACCUAAGGUUUAUCGACGUGCAAUGCACGUA